GUCCCUAUCGAUUAGUGGUUAAAUCAUCUCGUUGUGGCAAUGCGCGCGCUCCGAGAAGCCGCAGGCUCGAAUCCUGCUAGGGACA